rnacentral:rRNA from 1 species
UAGGGAAUAUUGCACAAUGGGCGAAAGCCUGAUGCAGCAACGCCGCGUGUGCGAUGAAGGCCUUCGGGUCGUAAAGCACUUUUCUGAGAGAUGAGCAAGGACAGUAUCUCAGGAAUAAGUCUCGGCUAACUACGUGCCAGCAGCCGCGGUAAAACGUAGGAGGCAAGCGUUAUCCGGAUUCACUGGGCGUAAAGCGCGUGCAGGCGGUUCGGUAAGUUGGGCGUGAAAUCUCCUGGCUUAACUAGGAGAGGUCGUUCAAUACUACCGGACUUGAGAGUGAUAGAGGAAGAUGGAAUUCCCGGUGUAGUGGUGAAAUGCGUAGAUAUCGGGAGGAACACCAGUGGCGAAAGCGAUCUUCUGGAUCAUUUCUGACGCUCAGACGCGAAAGCUAGGGUAGUAAACGG